rnacentral:rRNA from 1 species
AGUGAACGCUGGCGGUAGGCCUAACACAUGCAAGUCGAACGGCAGCACAGUAAGAGCUUGCUCUUACGGGUGGCGAGUGGCGGACGGGUGAGGAAUACAUCGGAAUCUACUUUUUCGUGGGGGAUAACGUAGGGAAACUUACGCUAAUACCGCAUACGACCUACGGGUUAAAGCAGGGGAUCUUCGGACCUUGCGCGAUUGAAUGAGCCGAUGUCGGAUUAGCUAGUUGGCGGGGUAAAGGCCCACCAAGGCGACGAUCCGUAGCUGGUCUGAGAGGAUGAUCGGCCACACUGGAACUGAGACACGGUCCAGACUCCUACGGGAGGCAGCAGUGGGGAAUAUUGGACAAUGGGCGCAAGCCUGAUCCAGCCAUACCGCGUGGGUGAAGAAGGCCUUCGGGUUGUAAAGCCCUUUUGUUGGGAAAGAAAAGCAGCAGGUUAAUACCCCGCUGUUCUGACGGUACCCAAAGAAUAAGCACCGGCUAACUUCGUG